rnacentral:ncRNA from 1 species
UAACCGCUGGCGGGACAAGGCUGCCCGUGAAUGUUG